rnacentral:rRNA from 1 species
AACGUAGGAGACAAACGUUAUCCGGAGCUACUGGGCGUAAAGGGCGUGUAGGUGGUAGUGUAAGUCUGGCGUGAAAUUUUUCGGCUUAACCGGGAAAGGUCGUCGGAUACUGCACAACUAGAGGACGGUAGAGGCGUGUGGAAUUCCGGGUGUAGUGGUGAAAUGCGUAGAUAUUGGGAGGAACACCAGUGGCGAAGGCGGCUCACUGGACCGGUACUGACGCUGAGGCGCGAAAGCGUGGGGAGCAAACGGG